AAUAUUCUUAUCAAGGUUUUCG
rnacentral:siRNA from 1 species